rnacentral:rRNA from 1 species
UACGUAGGGGGCAAGCGUUGUCCGGAAUCAUUGGGCGUAAAGCGCGUGUAGGCGGCUCGGUAAGUCUGCUGUGAAAGUCCAGGGCUCAACCCUGGGAUGCCGGUGGAUACUGUCGAGCUCGAGUCCGGAAGAGGCGAGUGGAAUUCCUGGUGUAGCGGUGAAAUGCGCAGAUAUCAGGAGGAACACCAAUGGCGAAGGCGGGUUGCUGGGCUGACACUGACGCUGAACUGCGAAAGCUAGGGGAGCGAACGGG